UUUGAAAGCCUUUGCGACAGUUUACUUUAAAUCAGGCACUUAGAAAGACGUAUACAAAAUGAUGAUUAAAGUUGCGAUAUUUUUGAUAAUUUCAGCGAUUGUAUUGAGAGAAGGUGACGCCAGAUUAAGUUGUGCAUUGGGCAUAUGCCCAAUUGAUGUAUUCAGAUCACAAUCGAAAUAAUUGAUUAUAACUAGCUGUUUUUGUGUUAUUUCAGUUUGUGUAUUUUUAUGGAAAGCUCGAGUAAAUAAAUUAUCAAAAUAUUGGUAUUACAAAAG